rnacentral:rRNA from 1 species
GACGUAGGAUGCAAGCGUUGUCCGGAUUUAUUGGGCGUAAAGAGUUCGUAGGCGGUUCGUUAAGUCUGAUGUUAAAGAUCGGGGCUCAACCCUGGAAGUGCAUUGGAUACUGGCGAACUGGAGUGCGGUAGAGGCUAGUGGAAUUCCAGUGUAGCGGUGAAAUGCGUAGAUAUUGGGAAGAACACCAGUGGCGUAGGCGACUAGCUGGGCCGUAACUGACGCUGAGGAACGAAAGCCAGGGGAGGCGAAUGGG